rnacentral:rRNA from 1 species
GUUGUAUAGUCAAGUAAUUAAGUGCAUGUGGUGGAUGCCUUGGCAGUCAGAGGCGAUGAAAGACGUGAUAGCCUGCGAAAAGCUCCGGGGAGGCGGCAAAUAUCCUUUGAUCCGGAGAUGUCUGAAUGGGGGAACCCACCUACUUUAAGGUAGGUAUUGCAACAUGAAUACAUAGUGUUGCAAGGCGAACGAGGGGAAGUGAAACAUCUCAGUACCCUUAGGAAAAGAAAUCAAUUGAGAUUCCCUCAGUAGCGGCGAGCGAACGGGGAUCAGCCCAUUAAGUUAUGUGUGUUUUAGUGGAACGCUCUGGGAAGUGCGAACGUAGAGGGUGAUAUUCCCGUACACGAAAGGGCACACAUAAUGAUGACGAGUAGGGCGAGGCACGUGAAACCUUGUCUGAAUAUGGGGGGACCAUCCUCCAAGGCUAAAUACUCCUGACUGACCGAUAGUGAACCAGUACCGUGAGGGAAAGGCGAAAAGAACCCCUGUGAGGGGAGUGAAAUAGAUCCUGAAACCGCAUGCAUACAAGCAGUGGGAGCACCUUCGUGGUGUGACUGCGUACCUUUUGUAUAAUGGGUCAGCGACUUAUAUUCAGUAGCGAGGUUAACCGUAUAGGGGAGCCGUAGAGAAAUCGAGUCUUAAUAGGGCGUUUAGUUGCUGGGUAUAGACCCGAAACCAGGCGAUCUAUCCAUGAGCAGGUUGAAGGUUGGGUAACACUAACUGGAGGACCGAACCCACUGUCGUUGAAAAGCCAGGGGAUGACUUGUGGAUAGGGGUGAAAGGCUAAUCAAGCCUGGUGAUAGCUGGUUCUCCCCGAAAGCUAUUUAGGUAGCGCCUCGGACGAAUACCAUAGGGGGUAGAGCACUGUUUCGGCUAGGGGGUCAUCCCGACUUACCAAACCGAUGCAAACUCCGAAUACCUAUGAGUACUAUCCGGGAGACAGACUGCGGGUGCUAACGUCCGUAGUCAAGAGGAAAACAAUCCAGACCGCCAGCUAAGGCCCCAAAAUCAUAGUUAAGUGGGAAACGAUGUGGGAAGGCAUAGACAGCUAGGAGGUUGGCUUAGAAGCAGCCACCCUUUAAAGAAAGCGUAAUAGCUCACUAGUCGAGUCGGCCUGCGCGGAAGAUGUAACGGGGCUAAAACUAUGUGCCGAAGCUGCGGAUGUAUACUUUGUAUACGUGGUAGGGGAGCGUUCUGUAAGCCGAUGAAGGUGUGUUGAGAAGCAUGCUGGAGGUAUCAGAAGUGCGAAUGCUGACGUGAGUAACGACAAAACGGGUGAAAAACCCGUUCGCCGAAAGACCAAGGGUUCCAGUCCAACGUUAAUCGGGGCUGGGUGAGUCGACCCCUAAGGCGAGGCCGAAAGGCGUAGUCGAUGGGAAAAUGGUUAAUAUUCCAUUACUUCUGUGUAAUGCGAUGAGAGGACGGAGAAGGCUAAAUCAGCCUGGCGUUGGUUGUCCAGGUGAAAGGAUGUAGGCAUGUAUCUUAGGCAAAUCCGGGGUACUCUAUGCUGAGAUCUGAUAGCAAGCUGUACUUGUACAGCGAAGUGGUUGAUGCCAUGCUUCCAGGAAAAGUCUCUAAGCUUCAGUUACACAGGAAUCGUACCCGAAACCGACACAGGUGGUCAGGUCGAGUAGACCAAGGCGCUUGAGAGAACUCUGCUGAAGGAACUAGGCAAAAUGGUACCGUAACUUCGGGAGAAGGUACGCUGUUGUUGGUGAUGGAACUCGCUUCCUGAGCUGACGACAGCCGCAGAAACCAGGCCGCUGCAACUGUUUAUUAAAAACAUAGCACUCUGCAAACACGAAAGUGGACGUAUAGGGUGUGAUGCCUGCCCGGUGCUGGAAGGUUAAUUGAUGGGGUUAGCGUAAGCGAAGCUCUUGAUCGAAGCCCCAGUAAACGGCGGCCGUAACUAUAACGGUCCUAAGGUAGCGAAAUUCCUUGUCGGGUAAGUUCCGACCUGCACGAAUGGCAUAAUGAUGGCGGCGCUGUCUCCAGCAGAGGCUCAGUGAAAUCGAAAUCGCUGUGAAGAUGCAGUGUACCCGCGGCUAGACGGAAAGACCCCGUGAACCUUUACUGCAGCUUGACACUGAACUUUGACCUUACUUGUGUAGGAUAGGUGGGAGGCUUUGAAGCUGGAACGCUAGUUCCAGUGGAGCCGUCCUUGAAAUACCACCCUGGUAAUGUUGAGGUUCUAACUCUGUCCCGUGAUCCGGGACGAGGACCGUGUCUGGUGGGUAGUUUGACUGGGGCGGUCUCCUCCUAAAGAGUAACGGAGGAGUACGAAGGUGCGCUCAGCGUGGUCGGAAAUCACGCGUAGAGUAUAAAGGCAAAAGCGCGCUUAACUGCGAGACCCACAAGUCGAGCAGGUACGAAAGUAGGUCUUAGUGAUCCGGUGGUUCUGUAUGGAAGGGCCAUCGCUCAACGGAUAAAAGGUACUCUGGGGAUAACAGGCUGAUACCGCCCAAGAGUUCAUAUCGACGGCGGUGUUUGGCACCUCGAUGUCGGCUCAUCUCAUCCUGGGGCUGAAGCAGGUCCCAAGGGUAUGGCUGUUCGCCAUUUAAAGAGGU